UACCAGCACCCCGAGUGGUCGGGACGUUUAUUGGGCCUAAAGCAUCCGUAGCCGGUUCUACAAGUCUUCCGUUAAAUCCACCUGCUCAACAGAUGGGCUGCGGAAGAUACUAUGGAGCUAGGAGGCGGGAGAGGCAAGCGGUACUCGAUGGGUAGGGGUAAAAUCCGUUGAUCCAUUGAAGACCACCAGCGGCGAAGGCGGCUUGCCAGAACGCGCUCGACGGUGAGGGAUGAAAGCUGGGGGAGCAAACCGG
rnacentral:rRNA from 1 species